rnacentral:tRNA from 1 species
GCCUCGUUAACUCAGCGGCCAGAGUGCCCGCCUGUCUAGCGGGAAGCCACCGGUUCGAUCCCGGUACGAGGCGCCA